UGGGGAAUCUUGCGCAAUGCGCGAAAGCGUGACGCAGCAACGCCGCGUGGGGGAAGAAGGCCUUCGGGUUGUAAACCCCUUUCAGGAGGGACGAAGGUCCGGCGGUGAAUAGCCGUCCGGACUGACGGUACCUCCACAAGAAGCCCCGGCUAACUACGUGCCAGCAGCCGCGGUAAUACGUAGGGGGCUAGCGUUGUCCGGAAUCAUUGGGCGUAAAGCGCGCGUAGGCGGCCCGGUAAGUCCGCUCUGAAAGUCCAGGGCUCAACCCUGGAAAGCGGGUGGAUACUGCCGGGCUAGAAUCCGGAAGAGGCGAGUGGAAUUCCUGGUGUAGCGGUGGAAUGCGCAGAUAUCAGGAGGAACACCAAUAGCGAAGGCAGCUCGCUGGGACGGUAUUGACGCUGAGGCGCGAAAGCGUGGGGAGCAAACAGGAUUAGAUACCCUGGUAGUCCACGCCGUAAACGAUGGGCACUAGGUGUGGGAGGUGUCGACUCCUCCCGUGCCGACGCUAACGCAUUAAGUGCCCCGCCUGGGGAGUACGGCCGCAAGGCUAA
rnacentral:rRNA from 1 species